AAUUCUCCUGCCUCAACCUCCCGAGUAGCUGGGAUUACAGGAUUUAGCACACAAAUGUCCAUAGAGCAUUUGGAAACAAGCAAUGAGAGCAGAGGUAUCCGGUGUAUCCCAACCACCCUCCUGCGGAUCCCCGCGCCUCCCCUGCGCAUCCCACGCGCAUCCCACGCGGGCAGCAGCACACAGGAGACCACGGGCUAAGCCUGAACCACAGGCAAACUCACCAGGCACGCCCCAUGGCCUGUGCUCGUGCCCUCAGGUGGUGACGAAAGGACCUGGGGCCGCCCAGGAGGACUGGACGCUGAGGAGCAGUGGGCGUCCAGUGUAAGAGACUUGUGCACACGGGGACAGCAGGAGAGGUGGGCUGGCCAGGAUCAGGAGGCAGCUGCCUCAGCAGAGAGGAAGAGGGUCAGCAGAAGAUCUCUUCACCCUCUGCUGAUACUUCUGACGCGGGACCAUCUGGAAAUGUGAAAACCAAGAAUGAAAAAAAUUCAGCAAAACUGCUCCUUUCAUUGAACUUCCUCCCCAUCCCAAAGUCUUCUGUAAUGCAAACAGGCGACUGGGGCUUAUGGGCAAUUAACUCUUCUGCGCACUGGGGUUUCUGAACAAAUUUGGUUAAUAAGGAUCUUAAGUGAUAUCCUUCACUGCCUAAUGCUCCCUUUAACUUUUAAAUAAGCACUAGAAUUUAUGAAGAGGCCAGGAAAAUGUACUUUUUCUUUAACCUCCCACACAGAAAGGAGAGAUCAAUCCUAAAGAGAAGGAUUCAGGGGAAAAAGUGGUACAUGAACAGGGAGGCAUUUAGUGGAAUUCAGCCGCAGGCUCUGUGGCCGCUGGCAUGUUAGUUAGCCUCUGUGAGCCUCAGUUUCCUCACUUCUCUUGGCGUUAGCAGUGCCAACUUCAUACAGUCAUUUGAGGGUUAAAUCACCAAACGCUAGCUGUUACCAAUGACUACUCUAGGCCCAGAAAGGCAAGGAGGAC
rnacentral:antisense_RNA from 1 species